rnacentral:lncRNA from 1 species
UUUGAAAUGUACAACUCAGUGGCUGAUUUCUGCACUUUCAGUUACAUGCCUUUACAGCAAGGGGACGCUGAGCCUUGGAGAGCACCUGACCUGCAUUCUAUCACCCAGCUGGAACGUGAAGCUUGGGACUGUGCAGCCCUUCCUGCAGACCUGACCUGACCCUGAGAGCAUCUUCUGAAGAUAGAUUGGCCUGGAGACAGGGUCUUUCUGAUUUGGGAAAGGAGGUCUCCACAGAGGGACCGCAGGAAGACAAAGAUCCAGUGUCAAGAGCCAGCUGCUCAUACCACGGGCCUUGCUGAACAAGACUCAGCCCUGGCAAAAGCAGGCUGCCCAGGUAGCCUCCUGAAAGACGUGCAGGUGUCAGACCAGCGGCAGAAGUUGUGGAGCCUGAGCCCUGCAGAACAGCUUUGCAGAAAUCACCGAGACCUGCCCUGAGGCUGGACCUCCCACCACUGGGGCCUGCCCUUCCUGACCAGUGGAGGCCCUGGACACCUGUCGCUGCCCUCAGCAUCCAGGGGAGGUCAGCCAGAGGCUGAGCCCUCCCACCUGCUCCUGGUAGCCCUGGCGGUUCUGAGGCUCACCCUGGGAAGACCCUCAGGCAGAGAGGAUCCAGGAUCUGGGGCUUUGUGUGCACAUCUGCUCUGCAGCGCCCCCGGCUCACCUGCCACAUGUGGCCCCUGAGUCUGUCCAAGAGCCCGGCCCUGGGCUCAGCACCUUCACAGCCUGCUGAAGGAGCCCCGGGACACUUCCCAGCCCGAGCGCUGCCUGUGUUGUUCACUCACUCAUCCUCCCCGUGCCAAGUCACAUUUUAAAAUUAGCACUUAUCCUCACCAUCACACUGGUGAGCUCAUGGGUUUAAAGUGCUAACUAUAUGCUUUUUAAAAUCCACUGAAAUAAACACAGUAAUGUCUGCAG